CCUACGGGCGGCAGCAGUGGGGAAUUUUGGACAAUGGGCGCAAGCCUGAUCCAGCUAUUCCGCGUGUGGGAUGAAGGCCCUCGGGUUGUAAACCACUUUUGUAGAGAACGAAAAGACACCUUUUAAUAAAGGGUGUUGCUGACGGUACUCUAAGAAUAAGCACCGGCUAACUACGUGCCAGCAGCCGCGGUAAUACGUAGGGUGCGAGCGUUAAUCGGAAUUACUGGGCGUAAAGGGUGCGCAGGCGGUUGAGUAAGACAGAUGUGAAAUCCCCGAGCUUAACUCGGGAAUGGCAUAUGUGACUGCUCGACUAGAGUGUGUCAGAGGGAGGUGGAAUUCCACGUGUAGCAGUGAAAUGCGUAGAUAUCUGGAGGAACAUCAGUGGCGAAGGCGGCCACCUGGAUCGGUAUUGACGCUGAGGCGCGAAAGCGUGGGGAGCAAACAGGAUUAGAUACCCUUGUAGUC
rnacentral:rRNA from 1 species